rnacentral:rRNA from 1 species
UCCUCAUGACGGUACCUGAAGAAUAAGCACCGGCUAACUACGUGCCAGCAGCCGCGGUAAUACGUAGGGUGCAAGCGUUAAUCGGAAUUACUGGGCGUAAAGCGUGCGCAGGCGGUUUUGUAAGACUGUCGUGAAAUCCCCGGGCUCAACCUGGGAAUGGCGAUGGUGACUGCAAGGCUAGAGUUUGGCAGAGGGGGGUAGAAUUCCACGUGUAGCAGUGAAAUGCGUAGAUAUGUGGAGGAACACCGAUGGCGAAGGCAGCCCCCUGGGUCAAAACUGACGCUCAUGCACGAAAGCGUGGGGAGCAAACAGGAUUAGAUACCCUGGUAGUCCACGCCCUAAACGAUGUCUACUAGUUGUCGGGUCUUAAUUGACUUGGUAACGCAGCUAACGCGUGAAGUAGACCGCCUGGGGAGUACGGUCGCAAGAUUAAAACUCAAAGGAAUUGACGGGGACCCGCACAAGCGGUGGAUGAUGUGGAUUAAUUCGAUGCAACGCGAAAAACCUUACCUACCCUUGACAUGGCAAGAACCUCCGAGAGAUUGGAGGGUGCUCGAAAGAGAACUUG